GCCAGCAGCCAUAUCACCUUGCAACUCACAACUGGCAACCCACUGAAGCUAAGCAGGUGUGAGCCUGGUCAGUACCUGGACGGAAGACCGCCUGGGAAAAACUAAGGUUGCUGCUGGAA
rnacentral:rRNA from 2 species